rnacentral:rRNA from 1 species
GGGACACGUGGUAUCCUGUCUGAAUAUGGGGGGACCAUCCUCCAAGGCUAAAUACUCCUGACUGACCGAUAGUGAACCAGUACCGUGAGGGAAAGGCGAAAAGAACCCCGGCGAGGGGAGUGAAAAAGAACCUGAAACCGUGUACGUACAAGCAGUGGGAGCACGCUUAGGCGUGUGACUGCGUACCUUUUGUAUAAUGGGUCAGCGACUUAUAUUCUGUAGCAAGGUUAACCGAAUAGGGGAGCCGAAGGGAAACCGAGUCUUAACUGGGCGUUAAGUUGCAGGGUAUAGACCCGAAACCCGGUGAUCUAGCCAUGGGCAGGUUGAAGGUUGGGUAACACUAACUGGAGGACCGAACCGACUAAUGUUGAAAAAUUAGCGGAUGACUUGUGGCUGGGGGUGAAAGGCCAAUCAAACCGGGAGAUAGCUGGUUCUCCCCGAAAGCUAUUUAGGUAGCGCCUCGUGAAUUCAUCUCCGGGGGUAGAGCACUGUUUCGGCAAGGGGGUCAUCCCGACUUACCAACCCGAUGCAAACUGCGAAUACCGGAGAAUGUUAUCACGGGAGACACACGGCGGGUGCUAACGUCCGUCGUGAAGAGGGAAACAACCCAGACCGCCAGCUAAGGUCCCAAAGUCAUGGUUAAGUGGGAAACGAUGUGGGAAGGCCCAGACAGCCAGGAUGUUGGCUUAGAAGCAGCCAUCAUUUAAAGAAAGCGUAAUAGCUCACUGGUCGAGUCGGCCUGCGCGGAAGAUGUAACGGGGCUAAACCAUGCACCGAAGCUGCGGCAGCGACGCUUAUGCGUUGUUGGGUAGGGGAGCGUUCUGUAAGCCUGUGAAGGUGUGCUGUGAGGCAUGCUGGAGGUAUCAGAAGUGCGAAUGCUGACAUAAGUAACGAUAAAGCGGGUGAAAAGCCCGCUCGCCGGAAGACCAAGGGUUCCUGUCCAACGUUAAUCGGGGCAGGGUGAGUCGACCCCUAAGGCGAGGCCGAAAGGCGUAGUCGAUGGGAAACAGGUUAAUAUUCCUGUACUUGGUGUUACUGCGAAGGGGGGACGGAGAAGGCUAUGUUGGCCGGGCGACGGUUGUCCCGGUUUAAGCGUGUAGGCUGGUUUUCCAGGCAAAUCCGGAAAAUCAAGGCUGAGGCGUGAUGACGAGGCACUACGGUGCUGAAGCAACAAAUGCCCUGCUUCCAGGAAAAGCCUCUAAGCAUCAGGUAACAUCAAAUCGUACCCCAAACCGACACAGGUGGUCAGGUAGAGAAUACCAAGGCGCUUGAGAGAACUCGGGUGAAGGAACUAGGCAAAAUGGUGCCGUAACUUCGGGAGAAGGCACGCUGAUAUGUAGGUGAAGCGACUUGCUCGUGGAGCUGAAAUCAGUCGAAGAUACCAGCUGGCUGCAACUGUUUAUUAAAAACACAGCACUGUGCAAACACGAAAGUGGACGUAUACGGUGUGACGCCUGCCCGGUGCCGGAAGGUUAAUUGAUGGGGUCAGCGCAAGCGAAGCUCUUGAUCGAAGCCCCGGUAAACGGCGGCCGUAACUAUAACGGUCCUAAGGUAGCGAAAUUCCUUGUCGGGUAAGUUCCGACCUGCACGAAUGGCGUAAUGAUGGCCAGGCUGUCUCCACCCGAGACUCAGUGAAAUUGAACUCGCUGUGAAGAUGCAGUGUACCCGCGGCAAGACGGAAAGACCCCGUGAACCUUUACUAUAGCUUGACACUGAACAUUGAGCCUUGAUGUGUAGGAUAGGUGGGAGGCUUAGAAGUGUGGACGCCAGUCUGCAUGGAGCCGACCUUGAAAUACCACCCUUUAAUGUUUGAUGUUCUAACGUUGACCCGUAAUCCGGGUUGCGGACAGUGUCUGGUGGGUAGUUUGACUGGGGCGGUCUCCUCCUAAAGAGUAACGGAGGAGCACGAAGGUUGGCUAAUCCUGGUCGGACAUCAGGAGGUUAGUGCAAUGGCAUAAGCCAGCUUGACUGCGAGCGUGACGGCGCGAGCAGGUGCGAAAGCAGGUCAUAGUGAUCCGGUGGUUCUGAAUGGAAGGGCCAUCGCUCAACGGAUAAAAGGUACUCCGGGGAUAACAGGCUGAUACCGCCCAAGAGUUCAUAUCGACGGCGGUGUUUGGCACCUCGAUGUCGGCUCAUCACAUCCUGGGGCUGAAGUAGGUCCCAAGGGUAUGGCUGUUCGCCAUUUAAAGUGGUACGCGAGCUGGGUUUAGAACGUCGUGAGACAGUUCGGUCCCUAUCUGCCGUGGGCGCUGGAGAACUGAGGGGGGCUGCUCCUAGUACGAGAGGACCGGAGUGGACGCAUCACUGGUGUUCGGGUUGUCAUGCCAAUGGCACUGCCCGGUAGCUAAAUGCGGAAGAGAUAAGUGCUGAAAGCAUCUAAGCACGAAACUUGCCCCGAGAUGAGUUCUCCCUGACCCUUUAAGGGUCCUGAAGGAACGUUGAAGACGACGACGUUGAUAGGCCGGGUGU